GGAAAUAGCCGGGAUAGCUCAG
rnacentral:tRNA from 1 species